UACGUAGGGUGCGAGCGUUAAUCGGAAUUACUGGGCGUAAAGCGUGCGCAGGCGGUUAUGUAAGACAGAUGUGAAAUCCCCGGGCUCAACCUGGGAACUGCAUUUGUGACUGCAUAGCUUGAGUGCGGCAGAGGGGGAUGGAAUUCCGCGUGUAGCAGUGAAAUGCGUAGAUAUGCGGAGGAACACCGAUGGCGAAGGCAAUCCCCUGGGCCUGCACUGACGCUCAUGCACGAAAGCGUGGGGAGCAAACAGG
rnacentral:rRNA from 1 species